GUCCAGAAUGAAGCCCGAGUGAUUGGGAAAAAUUCUGGAAUUUCCAGCUUCCUGCUUAUGUAGACAGAAGCCACUCUGGAACAUUGGAAUUUAUGUUACCAAGGGAUGUCAAAGCUGAAAAAGUCUCCUCACCAAGAUCUGAAAGGAAUAAAUGCACCAUUGAAUGCCAUGCUGUAGCGAUGGUGAGCUGGCAGGAAUGUUGGAGAGGGGGGAGAAGGAGUCACCAAC